GCUGGUGAUGCCGGUGAAUUAAUGGAGGUACCGAGGUAGAAAUAACUGCUGGUGCUGUAUCGUAUCGCUCCCCGAACACGGAAUAAUGGUCUGAAAAUGCUGCACACACUUUUUCCUCCUCGAUGAAGGUGUACUUAUCAAAAUCCACUGUGGAGAGAAUACCAUAUAACUGAAGGAGUACAAGGGCCCAGUCUGCGAAAUGCAAGUUUCUGUUUCAUGCAAAUGCUACAGAGCCUGGACAAGCUAAAGAUGCAUGGAAAAUGCUCACCAAGCUUUAACUGAAGAACUAAGUGUGGUGAGCCCAUAGAUGCUUGCCAACAAUUACAACAUUGAAAUGCAAAGAGAUAUUUUAUGUGACAAGUCGGAGAUCGGAUCUUCGGUGACUUCCCGCAGACAGCUUGCGAUAGCUGGUUCCGUGAAUCUUAAACGCCUCUCCGGGGAGUCGGCGCUCCGAGCCAGCGCAGUCACAUGACGUCAUAAGAAACGAA